AUGGACAUGAAGAUGCUUCCUAAGCUCCUAGGGCUGCUGCUGCUCUCUUUUUCAGGUGUGAGAUGUAAUAUCCAGAUGACACAAUCUCCAACAAUUCUGUCUGCAUCUCUUGGAGACAGAGUCACCAUCACCUGCCAUGCUGGUCAAAACAUUAAUAGUUGGUUAGCUUGGUACCAGCAGAAACCAGGGAAUGCUCCUAAACUAUUAAUCUAUAAGGCAUCCAGUCUGCAAACAGGAGUCCCAUCAAGAUUCAGUGGCAGUGGAUCUGGGACAGAUUUUACUCUCACCAUCAGCAGUCUGCAGCCUGAAGACAUUGCCACUUAUUACUGUCUACAGCAUCAGAGCUCUCCCUAUGGUGCAGGGAGUAAGACUGAGCUCAGCUAA